GAUGAACGCUAGCUACAGGCUUAACACAUGCAAGUCGCGGGGCAGCAUGGGGGUUGCUUGCAAUCCCUGAUGGCGACCGGCGCACGGGUGAGUAACGCGUAUCCAACCUGCCCUUCACCACGGGAUAACCCGGCGAAAGUCGGACUAAUACCGUAUGUUGUCCAUUGACGGCAUCCGAUUUGGACGAAAGGCUUAGCGGUGAGGGAGGGGGAUGCGUCCGAUUAGCUUGACGGCGGGGUAACGGCCCACCGUGGCUACGAUCGGUAGGGGUUCUGAGAGGAAGGUCCCCCACACUGGAACUGAGACACGGUCCAGACUCCUACGGGAGGCAGCAGUGAGGAAUAUUGGUCAAUGGGCGUAAGCCUGAACCAGCCAAGUAGCGUGCAGGAUGACGGCCCUAUGGGUUGUAAACUGCUUUUAGGCGGGGAUAAAGGGACCCACGUGUGGGUUUUUGCAGGUACCGCAUGAAUAAGGACCGGCUAAUUCCGUG
rnacentral:rRNA from 1 species